CGAUGUGGUGCUGCCGCGUUCUCUUCGGGCCGGGGCCUAAGCCGCGCCAGGCGAGGGACGGACAUUCAUGGCGAAUGGUCAUUCAGCGCGAAUGGCAACCGCUCUUCUCGUUCUGCCAGCGGGCCCCUCUUCUCUCCUCCCCAUUCCUUUGCAGGGUGGUGUGUGGAAGUCAGGGGUGCGGCUGUCAGGCACGAGCACUGACCCGCGCACACUUGUUGCUGUGGUUCGCGGUGUCCCUGUGGACGUGUCCAGGGUGCUUGCCCCCACACCGUUCACUGCUUCGCGGCCCUCUUCCCCCGUGCCGGGGGGAAGGUGGUAGACCCGCUGCGGUGCAUACCCUUCCCGAAUGGUGUGUGCACGCGCCCUGUUUUGUGUGAGCCUUGCGGUGCUCCU
rnacentral:lncRNA from 1 species